GGACGAGUAGCCAAACUGGUAAAGGCAGCUGACUUAAAAUCAGCGCUCCCUGUGGGUUCGAGUCCCGCCUCGUCCA
rnacentral:tRNA from 2 species